UACGGAGGGUGCGAGCGUUAAUCGGAAUUACUGGGCGUAAAGGGUGCGUAGGUGGUUAAAUAAGUUAUCUGUGAAAUCCCUGGGCUUAACCUGGGCAGGUCAGAUAAGACUGUUUGACUCGAGUAUGGGAGAGGGUAGUGGAAUUUCCGGUGUAGCGGUGAAAUGCGUAGAGAUCGGAAGGAACACCAGUGGCGAAGGCGGCUACCUGGCCUAAUACUGACACUGAGGCACGAAAGCGUGGGGAGCAAACAGG
rnacentral:rRNA from 1 species